ensembl:snRNA U6 U6 spliceosomal RNA
AUUAAAAAUUAAAAAAAAAUAAAAAUGGAAUGAUACAAAGAAGAUUAGAAUGGCCCCUGCGCAAGGAUGACACGCAAAUUCCGGAAGCGUUCCAUAUUUUU